AGAAGUUAAGAAACUGUUUCUUAACUUUUAACUAAAAAAGCUAAGAACCGGUUCUUAAAUAAGGACUUUAAGAACCGGUUCUUGUUUUUUUUAGUUAAAAGUUAAGAAACAGUUUCUUAACUUCC
rfam:Brassica oleracea var. oleracea cultivar TO1000 chromosome C9, whole genome shotgun sequence